rnacentral:lncRNA from 1 species
GGAGGUGUAACUGGCCGCCGCCGGAGAAGAAGGGACAGUGACUGAGGCGGCCUGGUCUCCGUAGCCAGGGAAGAUGGUGCUGCUGACGAUGAUCGCCCGUGUGGCGGACGGCCUUCCGCUGGCCGCCUCGAUGCAGGAGGACGAGCAGGUAAGCUGCUGCCGGAGCCCCGAGCUCGCCCUGCUCCCGGCUAGUGAGACCCUAGCGACCUCACAGACUCCUUCCCCCUCUUCUCGAGAGCUCUUUUACCGUUUGCUCGUGAAAAGACUACCUGUGAGAAGAAAUCCUUGUGGAAGGAGUUAGAGUUAUGGUGGUAACUGUUCCUCUCUACACAGAAGCCCCGGAGAAAGCUUAUCCAGGUUUAAUUUGAUCACCCAGUUUGUGAUGACUUUUUAGGGACCUUCUUAGAAUUUAGGACUUUUCUUUUGGGCUGCUGUUAAGGCUGCUGACUAAUAUAUCUGGGGAAGACCAACCCUUGGUUUCUUCACCUCGCUUUCCUGUAGCUCUUGAUCCUUGACCUAGCUCGAUGACAUAUUUUGAUAGAGGAUGAGGUAAUAUUGCCACUUACAAAGUUGUCAAGGUUCAGUAAAGUGCCUACUUUCACGGCUAUGCCUGAUUUUCUCCUGCUCUCAUAAAGUAUAUUAUUCAGAUGAGCCCAAGAAUAUGAUCCGGACAAAGGAGAUUGGGGGCUGGGAGUCUUAGAGAACACUUCCUUUGAAAAAUAUUUUCCCCGUGAGGGGUAUCAGUGGGGUAGAGAUGGGCAGAAUCUGAUCAGUUGCACUGAAGUCUAAUGGAGGAGAGGGACCAAAGUGGGUCUGAAAUGCUACUCAAUAUCAGUGGGCCCCUACUCUCUGCUUUGAAAUUUUUCUGAAAAAAAUUCAUGGAUUCUUUCUUAAUUUUAAACUUGGUAUUUAUUUGAUAUUGGUCUGCCAAUAUUGGUUUGUUUCAUUGAUGAGAAGUUCUCCACAGAAGUGUUUUGUUUUGUUUUUCUGGUUGUGAUUUAUCAUUUCCCUUUAUUAAUUUUGAUUUUAAAUAAUAAGCCUUUCUGAACCUUCAAUGUCUGCAGAAGCAUCGGUCUCAGACUCUUGUUUUACCAUCAUGAUAGUAGACAGAACGUCACACACAGCCUCAUAUAGAACAGCACUGUCCUGAGAGUGCUAGGGGUGCUAUUUCUCUGGCCCUCCUCAUACCACCCAUGUCAGAGUGUGUGCUCUUAUUGCCCUUCACAGGGGCUCUUAGGCUUAAAGUCACACUGCUAACAAGUAGGGUAAUGGAAUGUGCCCAGGGUUGUUGGUGGUGCUGGUGCUGGUAUGGUGCUUUGCUUUGCUUUGGGGGUUGGUCUGUUUUUAUCAGGGACUGUUCCCAUUUGGAGCUGGUUGAUACUUUGUUGGGAGAGACUGUCCUGUGCCUUGUAGGGCGUCUAUCCUUGGCCUCUACUUCCAGACGGCAGUAGCAAAAGUUCCUUUAGGGACAAAAUCAGGCCUGGUUGAGAAUUGCCAGUUUCAGUAAUCAGUAUUUUAUUAAGUAAGCUAUUGUUUUUAAAAUCAGUAUCAGUUUGGCUCUAGACCAGAACCUUCGUUCCUAAUCAUUAUUCUGUACUGUCUUGUUUAAGACUUUUCAACCACGUAGUCACUUCUUACUAAUGGAGAAAUAACUUUUUUUUUUAGAAAAUUGGGACAAUUUCUAGAUAGAGCUUGCCUUGAACUGACCCCACUGUCUUAGCCUUUUGAAUGCUAGAGUUACAGGUGUAGACCACCACACCAAACUCAGAAAUUGCAUUUAAGACAUAGAUUAUCUUGACCAAAUAGUCGUAUAUUAAGUACUCUAAUUGUCUAAGCCAAAGUAAUGCAUAUACUUUUAACUAUUUGUACUGAUACAACUUGAGUUAUUUUUAGAUAUUUACUAGGAGCCAGCCCCUGUGUAAGCUCUUAACUGCCUUAUUACUGAAGAUGACUGGUAUUCAGCUAAGACAGGAAGGAGAGUAACAUUCACAUAUAAUAUAGACAGUGUUUUAUACAGUGUUGACUGCUUACCUAGUAAUUUAGGCUUAGGACAGGUAGAGAAACAACCUUCUCUUUGAAAUCCCAGACUUGCUAACUGAUAAUCUUGUCCCUUUCCUACUCUUUCUUUUCUUUUUUUCUUUUCCCUAUAAUGACGUUUUUCCUUUGCACUUUCUUCUAUCUACCUCUCUGUUCUGUCUGAAAAGUAUUGUAUUUGCGCUGUGCAGCCGAGCCGCCUUGCACCCUUAUCACGUCAGGGCGGUUACUAUAAUUCCCUGUAGAGGAAAAUGGCUGCCUCUUGAUUCUUGGUCCAACUGGCCUUUG